UUUUCUAAUUACGUAUUUUAAGUCUUAUACUUCAACAAUUUUAUGACAAACUGACUGUCAUCAAUUUG